GAUGAACGCUGGCGGCGUGCCUAAUACAUGCAAGUCGAGCGAACAGAUAAGGAGCUUGCUCCUUUGACGUUAGCGGCGGACGGGUGAGUAACACGUGGAUAACCUACCUAUAAGACUGGGAUAACUUCGGGAAACCGGAGCUAAUACCGGAUAACAUAUUGAACCGCAUGGUUCAAUAGUGAAAGGCGGCUUUGCUGUCACUUAUAGAUGGAUCCGCGCCGUAUUAGCUAGUUGGUAAGGUAACGGCUUACCAAGGCAACGAUACGUAGCCGACCUGAGAGGGUGAUCGGCCACACUGGAACUGAGACACGGUCCAGACUCCUACGGGAGGCAGCAGUAGGGAAUCUUCCGCAAUGGGCGAAAGCCUGACGGAGCAACGCCGCGUGUGUGAUGAAGGUCUUCGGAUCGUAAAACUCUGUUAUCAGGGAAGAACAAAUGUGUAAGUAACUGUGCACAUCUUGACGGUACCUGAUCAGAAAGCCACGGCUAACUACGUG
rnacentral:rRNA from 1 species